rnacentral:lncRNA from 1 species
GUUCAAUCUCCCCAGCAGAGUCGCCAGAGCUGUCACACCUCCUUUUUACAAAGGCUACCCCGAAGGAUAAGUGUAUAAAGGAGUUUUUCCAUUUAAAGUGACAUUAUUCGAAAUGGGAUUAUUUAUUUAUUUAGAGUCACCACUUGGGAUAGACUUGGCUUUUGGUGUCCCAAGUCACCAAUUUGUUUUGAAUCCCAAAUCGAGGAAAUUUUCGACUGCCCAAAUGGAGUCUGCGAACCAGAAAUUCUAAGUAAGGAAGGGAAUG